rnacentral:rRNA from 1 species
GAUGAACGCUGGCUACAGGCUUAACACAUGCAAGUCGAGGGGAAACGACGGGGAAGCUUGCUUCCCCGGGCGUCGACCGGCGCACGGGUGAGUAACGCGUAUCCAACCUGCCUCUGACUGAGGGAUAACCCGUCGAAAGUCGGCCUAAUACCUCAUGGCAUCGUCUGCGGGCAUCCAACGACGAUUAAAGAUUUCAUCGGUCAGGGAUGGGGAUGCGUCUGAUUAGCAUGUUGGCGGGGUAACGGCCCACCAAGGCUACGAUCAGUAGGGGUUCUGAGAGGAAGGUCCCCCACAUUGGAACUGAGACACGGUCCAAACUCCUACGGGAGGCAGCAAUGAGGAAUAUUGGUCAAUGGGCGGGAGCCUGAACCAGCCAAGUAGCGUGCAGGAUGACGGCCCUAUGGGUUGUAAACUGCUUUUAUGCGGGGAUAAAGUGGGGGACGUGUCCUUCAUUGCAGGUACCGCAUGAAUAAGGACCGGCUAAUUCCGUG